GCCUAGUUAGCUCAGUUGGUAGCGCUUCUGCUUUGUAAACGCUAGGGCGCGGGUUCGAUUCCCGCCCGGGGCG
rnacentral:tRNA from 1 species